GGGGGAUAACGGUUAGAAAUGACUGCUAAUACCGCAUAAGCGCACAGUACCGCAUGGUACGGUGUGAAAAACUCCGGUGGUAUGAGAUGGACCCGCGUCUGAUUAGCUAGUUGGUGGGGUAACGGCCCACCAAGGCAACGAUCAGUAGCCGACCUGAGAGGGUGACCGGCCACAUUGGGACUGAGACACGGCCCAGACUCCUACGGGAGGCAGCAGUGGGGGAUAUUGCACAAUGGAGGAAACUCUGAUGCAGCGACGCCGCGUGAGUGAAGAAGUAUUUCGGUAUGUAAAGCUCUAUCAGCAGGGAAGAAAAUGACGGUACCUGACUAAGAAGCCCCGGCUAACUACGUGCCAGCAGCCGCGGUAAUACGUAGGGGGCAAGCGUUAUCCGGAUUUACUG
rnacentral:rRNA from 1 species